rnacentral:rRNA from 1 species
GAGGAAUAUUGGUCAAUGGACGAGAGUCUGAACCAGCCAAGUAGCGUGAAGGAUGACUGCCCUAUGGGUUGUAAACUUCUUUUAUAUGGGAAUAAAGUGGUCCACGUGUGGAUUUUUGUAUGUACCAUAUGAAUAAGGAUCGGCUAACUCCGUGCCAGCAGCCGCGGUAAUACGGAGGAUCCGAGCGUUAUCCGGAUUUAUUGGGUUUAAAGGGAGCGUAGGUGGACAGUUAAGUCAGUUGUGAAAGUUUGCGGCUCAACCGUAAAAUUGCAGUUGAUACUGGCUGUCUUGAGUACAGUAGAGGUGGGCGGAAUUCGUGGUGUAGCGGUGAAAUGCUUAGAUAUCACGAAGAACUCCGAUUGCGAAGGCAGCUCACUGGACUGCAACUGACACUGAUGCUCGAAAGUGUGGGUAUCAAAC